UACGUAGGGUGCAAGCGUUGUCCGGAAUUAUUGGGCGUAAAGGGCGCGUAGGCGGCCACCGCAAGUCGACUGUGAAAUCUCCGGGCUUAACCCGGAAAGGUCAGCCGAUACUGCGUGGCUAGAGUGCAGAAGGGGCAACUGGAAUUCUCGGUGUAGCGGUGAAAUGCGUAGAUAUCGAGAGGAACACCUGCGGCGAAGGCGGGUUGCUGGGCUGACACUGACGCUGAGGCGCGAAAGCUAGGGGAGCGAACGGG
rnacentral:rRNA from 1 species